UCCCGGUUAACCCGGGCAGUCUCACUAGAGUCCCCGCCUUUACGCGUUGGCAACUAAUGAUAAGGGUUGCGCUCGUUGCGGGACUUAACCCAACACCUCACGGCACGAGCUGACGACAGCCAUGCAGCACCUCUAUAGCGGUUCUUUCGAAAAGAUACAUUUCUGUACCGAUCCCCUACAGUUCAAGCCCAGGUAAGGUUCUUCGCGUUGCAUCGAAUUAAACCACAUGCUCCACUGCUUGUGCGGGCCCCCGUCAAUUCUUUUGAGUUUCAGCCUUGCGACUGUACUCCCCAGGCGGCAUACUUAACGCGUUAGCUCCGGCACAGCCAGGGUUGAGCCUGGCUACACCAAGUAUGCAUCGUUUACGGCUGGGACUAC
rnacentral:misc_RNA from 1 species